rnacentral:rRNA from 1 species
GACGAACGCUGGCGGCGUGCUUAACACAUGCAAGUCGAACGGAAAGGCCCUGCUUUUGUGGGGUGCUCGAGUGGCGAACGGGUGAGUAACACGUGAGUAACCUGCCCUUGACUUUGGGAUAACUUCAGGAAACUGGGGCUAAUACCGGAUAGGAGCUCCUGCUGCAUGGUGGGGGUUGGAAAGUUUCGGCGGUUGGGGAUGGACUCGCGGCUUAUCAGCUUGUUGGUGGGGUAGUGGCUUACAAAGGCUUUGACGGGUAGCCGGCCUGAGAGGGUGGCCGGCCACAUUGGGACUGAGAUACGGACCAGAAUCCUACGGGACGCAGCAGUCGGGAAUAUUGCGCAGUGGGCGGAAGCCUGAUGCAGCAACGCCGCGUGCGGGAUGACGGCCUUCGGGUUGUAAACCGCUUUCGCCUGUGACGAAGCGUGAGUGACGGUAAUGGGUAAAGAAGCACCGGCUAACUACGUG